rnacentral:rRNA from 1 species
UGGAUCGUUCAUACCAGCCUGGAAAAGACCAGUUCUCGUCCGCUCUCAGAAGUCAAACAGGCUUGGGCGUCAACAGUUGUGUGCAGAGGAAUCGCCUGCGAACUCGACGCGACGAUCUUU